rnacentral:rRNA from 1 species
AGUCGAGGGGUAGAGUAGCAAUACUUGAGACCGGCGCACGGGUGCGUAACGCGUAUGCAAUCUACCUUUUACAGAGGGAUAGCCCAGAGAAAUUUGGAUUAAUACCUCAUAGUAUUACGACCUGGCAUCAGGAUGUAAUUAAAGUCACAACGGUAAAAGAUGAGCAUGCGUCCCAUUAGCUAGUUGGUAAGGUAACGGCUUACCAAGGCUACGAUGGGUAGGGGUCCUGAGAGGGAGAUCCCCCACACUGGUACUGAGACACGGACCAGACUCCUACGGGAGGCAGCAGUGAGGAAUAUUGGACAAUGGGCGCAAGCCUGAUCCAGCCAUGCCGCGUGCAGGAUGACGGUCCUAUGGAUUGUAAACUGCUUUUAUACGAGAAGAAACACUACUUCGUGAAGUAGCUUGACGGUAUCGUAAGAAUAAGGAUCGGCUAACUCCGUGCCAGCAGCCGCGGUAAUACGGAGGAUCCAAGCGUUAUCCGGAAUCAUUGGGUUUAAAGGGUCCGUAGGCGGUUUAAUAAGUCAGUGGUGAAAGCCCAUCGCUCAACGGUGGAACGGCCAUUGAUACUGUUAGACUUGAAUUAUUAGGAAGUAACUAGAAUAUGUAGUGUAGCGGUGAAAUGCUUAGAGAUUACAUGGAAUACCAAUUGCGAAGGCAGGUUACUACUAAUUGAUUGACGCUGAUGG